rnacentral:rRNA from 1 species
AUUUUGACCGUGCGAAGGUAGCGCAAUCACUUGUCUUUUAAAUGAAGACCUGUAUGAAUGGCAUCACGAGGGCUUAGCUGUCUCCUCUUCCAAGUCAAUGAAAUUGAUCUGCCCGUGCAGAAGCGGACAUAAGUACAUAAGACGAGAAGACCCUAUGGAGCUUUAGACACCAGGCAGAUCACGUCAAGUAACCUUGAAUUAACAAGUAAAAACACAGUGACCCCUAGCCCCUAUGUCUUUGGUUGGGGCGACCGCGGGGGAAAACAAAGCCCCCAUGUGGACUGGGGGCACUGCCCCCACAACCAAGAGCCACAACUCUAAGCACCAGAAUUUCUGACCAAAAAUGAUCCGGCGAACGCCGAUCAACGGACCGAGUUACCCUAGGGAUAACAGCGCAAUCCUCUCCCAGAGUCCCUAUCGACGAGGGGGUUUACGACCUCGAUGUUGGAUCAGGACAUCCUAAUGGUGCAGCCGCUAUUAAGGGUUCGUUUGUUCAACGAUUAAAGUCCUACGUGAUCUG